rnacentral:rRNA from 1 species
AGGUAAUAGAUACCCUGGUAGUCCACGCCGUAAACUAUGGAUGCUAGCUGUUAUCAGUAUCGACCCUGGUAGUAGCGAAAGCUAACGCGUUAAGCAUCCCGCCUGUGGAGUACGAGCGCAAGCUUAAAACAUAAAGGAAUUGACGGGGACCCGCACAAGCGGUGGAGCGUGUUGUUUAAUUCGACGGUAAGCGAAGAACCUUACCAGGGUUUGACAUCCCGCCAAGGUCUCCGAAAGGAGACUGUGCCUUCGGGCCGCGGUGACAGGUGCUGCAUGGCCGUCGUCAGCCUCGUGUCGUGAGAUUGGUUUAGGUUAACGUCCAU